rnacentral:rRNA from 1 species
UACGGGGGGGGCAAGCGUUGUUCGGAAUUACUGGGCGUAAAGGGCUCGUAGGCGGCCAACUAAGUCGGAUGUGAAAUCCCCAGGCUUAACUGGGGAACUGCGUCCGAUACUGGAUGGCUUGGAUUUGGGAGAGGGAUGCGGAAUUCCAGGUGUAGCGGUGAAAUGCGUAGAGAUGCGGAGGAACACCGAUGGCGAAGGCAGCCCCCUGGGCCAACACUGACGCUCAGGCACGAAAGCGUGGGGAGCAAACAGG